rnacentral:rRNA from 1 species
AGGAUUAACGCUGGCGGCGUGCCUAACACAUGCAAGUCGAACGAGGUAGCAAUACCUAGUGGCAGACGGGUGAGUAGCGCGUGGUCAACCUACCGUUGAGUGGGGGAUAACUAGCCGAAAGGUUAGCUAAAUACCGCAUACGUCUCCGAGGGGCAUCCCUUGGUGAUAAAAGGAGCAAUCCGCUCGAUGACGGGACCGCGUCCCAUUAGCUAGUUGGUGGGGUAACGGCCUACCAAGGCAUCGAUGGGUAGCUGGUUUGAGAGAGCGACCAGCCACACUGGGACUGAGAUACGGCCCAGACUCCUACGGGAGGCAGCAGUGAGGAAUUUUGCGCAAUGGGGGAAACCCUGACGCAGCAACGCCGCGUGGAGGAUGAAGCCCCUUGGGUGUAAACUCCUUUCGACGGGGAAGAUAAUGACGGUACCCGUAGAAGAAGCCCCGGCUAACUUCGUGCCAGCAGCCGC